GACAUUUAAUAUAACAUCUAUCAGGGAAAGACCAGGGAGUAAAAACAGCCUUGGCACUUUUAGGCCAGCUGUCCUCUACACGUGGCCAAAUGCUACUCUUUUAUACUCACAGAAUGUACGGCAGCGUGCAUCCAGUUUGUGGCCACAUAUUAACGCACCAGAUCUGCUGCAUGAGCGGUAGUGAAACAUUAUUCUUCCGGACCAUUGAAAUUCAACAGCCAGGUGAAGACACUUCACAGGAUUCUAAUGGAUUGUUGAAGUAACAAAUUUAUUUAGAAGUAUUGACCUGUGAAACAUGAUUUAUUAAACCACCCUAAAUUAUCACUUCAUCAAAGCCUUUGUGUCAUUAGGGUUAUCUCUGGCAUAAGUAGACCUCAGCACCAGGCUACACUAGCAAUGACGCACGUUAAGCUUGAUCUUGGCACACGCUGUUGGCACGUUGUGACAUUUUAAAGGAGAACAUUUUCUACUGGUGUUUGAAACGUGAUUUUCCUUUGAAGUUGUCAUCUGAUUAAAAGUAAUUUAUGUUGUUUUAAACCUC